rnacentral:snRNA from 1 species
GAGAUGCUCUAAGGUUGUGUGUU